AUGUACAAAGAAGAUUUAAUAUUUUAUUAUAAACUAUUUCUUGAUAUUAUAAUAUUAAUUAUAUUAAUCAGUUUUAUUAUUAGUUUUAUUUUUAUACAAAUAAAACAUCCCCUUGCUAUAGGUCUAAUAUUAUUAAUUCAAACAUUUUUAACUUCUUUAUUAACAGGAAUACUUAUAAAAACUUUUUGAUUUUCAUACGUGCUAUUUUUAAUUUUUAUAGGAGGAAUAUUAGUUUUAUUUAUUUAUGUAACAUCCCUUUCAUCUAAUGAAAUGUUUUCUUUAUCAAUAAAAUUAACAUUUAUUAGCAUUUUCAUAAUUAUAUUAUUCUUAAUAUUUUAUUUAUUUUUUGAUAAAUUAAUUAUUGAACCUUUCAUUAAUAAUAAUGAAAUAAUUAAAUUAUCUUUAAUAAAUAAUUUUUUAAUAGAAGACACGAUUUCAUUAAAUAAAAUAUAUAAUUUUCCAACUAAUUUAAUUACUUUAUUAUUGAUUAAUUAUUUAUUUUUAACUUUAUUAGUAACAGUAAAAAUUACAAAAAAAAAAUUAUGGCCCAUUACGACCAAUAAAUUAAUGACUAAAUCAUUACGAAAAACUCACCCUUUAUUAAAAAUAGCUAACAAUGCUUUAGUAGAUUUACCUGCUCCUUCUAAUAUUUCAGCCUGAUGAAAUUUUGGAUCAUUACUGGGAUUAUGUUUAAUUAUUCAAAUUUUAACAGGAUUAUUUUUAGCAAUACAUUAUACAGCAGAUAUUGAAACUGCUUUUAAUAGAGUAAAUCAUAUUUAUCGAGAUGUAAAUAAUGGUUGAUUUUUACGAAUUUGCCAUGCUAAUGGAGCUUCUUUUUUUUUUGCUUGUUUAUUUAUUCAUGUAGGUCGAGGAAUUUACUAUAACUCUUAUUUAUUUGUUCCAACAUGAAUAAUUGGAGUAAUUAUCUUAUUUAUAGUAAUAGCAACAGGAUUUUUAGGAUAUGUUUUACCUUGAGGUCAAAUAUCUUUUUGAGGUGCUACUGUAAUUACUAAUCUUU